UUUUAAACUGAAAAUAAAAUUACCAUCAUUUGUUGCAUGCAAUUCACCCGAAAUUGAACUCAAGAAACUUUAGCAUACAGGCGACAAGUUAAACUCCUAGCAAAAGAAGGUCUAAAAACAACUGAGAAAUCAAAACUCAAGUGCUUCCGCAGACUUAAAAAAAGAAGAGAACUAGUUAGCAUUAGCGGAAAUUUCUACACGAAAUACCCAAAAUUCCUAAACACCAAAAUUACACCAUAUUGGCU
rnacentral:misc_RNA from 1 species